AUAAAAGUAGUUAAUAUAUAAUAUUAGAUCUGCAAUCUAAAGUUGGGUAAUCUCCUUUUAUAA
rnacentral:tRNA from 1 species